AAAUUUAAAAAAACUGUUUUUCUUUACAGGUCCUUCUAGUUGGUGGUAAAGACUUUACUUUAGUUGGUCGUCCCUUGUUAAAGUCUGAUAUGGUUCGUGUAGAAGCCACAGUUAUUGAACAGACGUUGUCACAUUUAGUGACACAUUUUAAACUCAUUCCUCGUAAAAAUUCAAGAAGAAUGAACUUUUACAGAUUUCCCCUGACCAUGCUGAGAAUCAACAGUAUUGAAAUUAUGACUUCUGAUAUUAACAGCAUGUCUAGUAUAGAAGGGAUUCAAGACAGAAUUUUUUGACCUUUUCUGUUGAUGUGAUUUUUGAUACAGUACUGUUUAACACAAUAUCACUGGUAUAGCAUUUCUCAGUAUAAUAUUGUAAAAAAGUUGGUACCAUGCUACCUUUUAAUAAGCCAGUUAUAUACCUCAUGUGAUGUAGUGUAAGCUGUUUUAUGUUUUACUUAAGUAUGAGUUAAAGUAUGUCAAAAUAAAAGAUAAUGUAAGUAUA